GCACCAUUGGUCUAGUGGUAGAAUACGUCCUUGCCACGGACGAGACCCGAGUUCGAUUCUCGGAUGGUGCA